rnacentral:rRNA from 1 species
GCAGUCGAACGGUAACGCGGGCUUCGGCCUGGCGACGAGUGGCGAACGGGUGAGNNCNNCAUCGGAACGUAUCCUUUAGUGGGGGAUAGCCCGGUGAAAGCCGGAUUAAUACCGCAUGAUCUCUGAGGAGCAAAGCGGGGGACUUUCGGGCCUCGCGCUGUUGGAGCGGCCGAUGCCGGAUUAGCUUGUUGGUGGGGUAAGAGCCUACCAAGGCGACGAUCCGUAGCUGGUCUGAGAGGAUGAUCAGCCACACUGGAACUGAGACACGGUCCAGACUCCUACGGGAGGCAGCAGUGGGGAAUUUUGGACAAUGGGGGCAACCCUGAUCCAGCCAUGCCGCGUGCGGGAAGAAGGCCUUCGGGUUGUAAACCGCUUUCAUACGGAACGAAAUGGUGCAGGCCAAUACCCUGUAUUGAUGACGGUACCGUAAGAAGAAGCACCGGCUAACUACGUGCCAGCAGCCGCGGUAAUACGUAGGGUGCGAGCGUUAAUCGGAAUUACUGGGCGUAAAGCGUGCGCAGGCGGCUCUUUAAGACAGGUGUGAAAUCCCCGGGCUUAACCUGGGAAUUGCGCUUGUGACUGGAGGGCUCGAGUGCGGCAGAGGGGGAUGGAAUUCCUGGUGUAGCAGUGAAAUGCGUAGAUAUCAGGAGGAACACCGAUGGC